GGUGACGUCAUUUGUCUUCAACACUCAGCGCGGCGUUGCCACUUUCACCGCAGCGACAACAGGCGUCGUCGUCUUCGUAGAUUGUUUAUUGUUGUUAUUAUUGUUAUAAUUAGCGCGUGUGUUGGUGUUUAAUCUGUCGUGGUCGCCGACUUGCCGCGAUUGUCGUCGUCGGCGGCGGGAGCAGCAGCCGCGGUUGUAUAAAGUCUACAAGUUGAGGGACUUUGCCGUGCUGUGACAUCCUCGCAUAAAAGCCCUUCUGCGUCGUCUGCGACUCUGUGGAAGGCAAGCAGGCAAGGAAGGGGGAAGUGAGGUGCCAUGGCAAUGCAAUGGAGGCUGGGUUCCCAUCGCACUGGCCUGCUGCUUGUCGGCAUGGGCGUCAUUUGGAUGCUGCUCCUGCUGCUGGUGACGCUGAGGCAACACGGCGGCGCCAGGCAGUCGAGCACGGCGCAGCUGCGCGAGCAAAUCCUGCGGCUGAGCCGCGAGUACGUGCACCAAUUGACGCUGGAAAAGGACGACGUGUUUGCGGGGACAUCUG